rnacentral:rRNA from 1 species
UGAUUUCUCGAUAUAAAAUGAGCAAUAAAUUUAUUUAUUUUAAUGUAAAAAAAUUAUUUAAAAUAAUUUUAUUGAAAUGAGACGUUAAUCGUAUUUUAUUAUAUCUAGUUUUUUAAGAAAUAAAUUUAAUUUAUUUGUUAGUAAUGAUUUGAUUUAUUUUAUAAUUAAAUUAUAUUAAUAAAUAAUAUUAUUAGGGAUAAGCUUAGUAAUAAAAUUUAGAUAUAUUGAUAUUUUAGUAUUUAGUGGGGAUAAAAGUUUCUUUCUAUAGAUAGUGUAUUAUUACAAUGUAUUAGUUUUAUAUAAUUUUUAUAUAUGUUUAGUGUUUAUUAGGAGAUUUUAUUUAAUUAAUGAAUUUAAGUAAUAAUGAUUAAAUUAGUAUAUUAUUAAUUGUAAUAUAAUUAGCGGUGAAAGGUAAAGUUAAGGAAUUCGGCAAAUUAGUUUUCGCCUGUUUAUUAAAAACAUGGUUUUUUGAUUAUAAUUUAAAAUUUGACCUGCUCUAUGAGUAGUUAAAUGGCUGCAGUAUUUUGACUGUACAAAGGUAGCAUAAUAAUUAGUUUCUUAAUUGGGGACUGGAAUGAAUGGUUGGACGAAAAAUUAACUGUCUUUAUUUUAUUUUAUUAGAAUUUUAUAUUUAAGUUAAAAAGCUUAAAUUUGAUUAAAAGACGAGAAGACCCUAUAGAACUUUAUAGUUAAAUAGUAUUUAUUAUUAAGGAAAUUGAUAUCUUUAUUAUGAUAAUUAUUUUAUUGGGGUGAUAAAAAAAUUUAAUUAACUUUUUUAUGAUUUUAAUAUUAAUGAAUAAACAUGUGAUCCAAAUAUAUUGAUUAUUAGAUUAAGUUACCUUAGGGAUAACAGCGUAAUUUUUUUUGAUAGUACAUAUUGGAAAAAAAGAUUGCGACCUCGAUGUUGGAUUAAAUUGAAUUAUAGGUGUAGUGGCUUAUAAAUUUGGUCUGUUCGAC